rnacentral:lncRNA from 1 species
UGGCUGCUCAGGUCAUAGGUGCUGCAAUCUAGAGACAAAAUAUUCCUUACACUGCCAGAUACUUGCAAACUAAGGGGAACGAGCUUCCCUCUGAAUGUUUAUGAAGGAGAGACCACUGUGUCAUCUGUCUUAGAGCUAUUGGAAUCCUGGAUCAUUGUGGGAAAUGAAAAGAACUGGUUUUUAGCAAGGAGACCAAGAAACUCUACUCCCUAGGGGCUAGCAAUGAGAGAAAGGAAGCCUUGAGUCUUUGAGCACAGGGUGACAGUUUGGGUCCUAUGUGAGAUGAUCAAAUCCACAGCAACAGAGGAAAGGACAAAAGGAAAAGAUACUUCGAUGGAAUCAGCAGCCAUUGAUCCAAUGCCAACUCCAAGACUGGAACGUCGCAAUGAUAGUUCCAAGGCGGAAAUUUGACGUAAUUCUUUUCGACACAGUUUUACAGGUCUGGAUGCCCAUUUUAAUUCUUCUGAAAGCAUGCCUCCUUCUGGCUUCAGGACUCCAUCUCCAGCCUUAUGAUCUAAAAAUAAUCCCCAAACCAAAAAAUUAGAUAUUAUUUCCUCAAAAUUAGGUGUUUUAAUCAAAACAUCUUAACAUAAAUACAUUAUUAUCACCCAA